AUUGAACGCUGGCGGCAGGCCUAACACAUGCAAGUCGAACGGUAACAGGAAGAAGCUUGCUUCUUUGCUGACGAGUGGCGGAUGGGUGAGUAAUGUCUGGGAAACUGCCUGAUGGAGGGGGAUAACUACUGGAAACGGUAGCUAAUACCGCAUAACGUCGCAAGACCAAAGAGGGGGACCUUCGGGCCUCUUGCCAUCGGAUGUGCCCAGAUGGGAUUAGCUAGUAGGUGGGGUAACGGCUCACCUAGGCGACGAUCCCUAGCUGGUCUGAGAGGAUGACCAGCCACACUGGAACUGAGACACGGUCCAGGCUCCUACGGGAGGCAGCAGUGGGGAAUAUUGCACAAAGGGCGCAAGCCUGAUGCAGCCAUGCCGCGUGUAUGAAGAAGGCCUUCGGGUUGUAAAGUACUUUCAGCGGGGAGGAAGGGAGUAAAGUUAAUACCUUUACUCAUUGACGUUACCCGCAGAAGAAGCACCGGCUAACUCCGUG
rnacentral:rRNA from 1 species